rnacentral:tRNA from 1 species
GGCGGCGUAGCUCAGCUGGCUAGAGCAUACGGUUCAUACCCGUAGUGUCCGGGGUUCAAGUCCCUGCGCCGCCACCA